CAUAACACCCAUGGGCACAGCCUGCCAUGGUUCUCACUCCCGUGGCAGUCUCCAUCCUGCACUGCAGCAGCUGUGGAGUAAUGCAAGCAGAACACACCAAGAGCCAUUUCCAAGCUCAACGCCAGUCAGCAUUUAUCGCAGCGCAGAAGUAUCCGAUGUGACUACAAAUGUGAGCGAGCAGACCUGAAGGCAAUCUGAAGUCUGGAGAAGGGCAAAUAAGAGGUUAACAGCUUGUACCCCCGUUCACUGGAAAGAAAAUAGCCUCCACCCUGCUAAUGAUCCCUCAGGGGAGGCACCGUCAAGAGGCAACACUUGCUGUAGCAGAGAAAAGCCACGGCUGCUGCUGUCCCGGCACGCAACGUCAGCCCUGAGAGUAUCUGCAGCCCACAGACAUCAACUAAUCUCAGAGGGUGAGGAACGGAGCCUCUCCCCAUGGGAACUCAGCUGAUUCAGGGAGGGAGGAGAGCAGCUCUUCUGAAAACAAACCACUGAGCUUCCCAGAACCCCAAUAAUGUCCAUGCAUUCCCCAGAGGAGAUUUGCAGAAAGACAGGCAUAUGGCCAGACAGAAAGACUCACUGUUGGAAACAGCCAUUGAAUGUGGCAUUUCACAUAGAAAACACAAAGCAGAGGGUUUAGGAACCUUUCAUUCCAUUUCCUCACCAUCAAGUAGUGAUGGGUUCCUCUCGCUUUGCUUUUGCUAUGCCUCACUCCUCCCAGCUGAAUGUUUAGGACUGGCUUCUGAGCUCCCUCACUGAAGCCACUGGGAACUGGUAAGAAGGCAAAAAGGAGGCAUUUAUUCUUUUUCCAUGAUUAUUUCAUUCUCUCCUUUCACCCUUCUGUCCCAGUUCAGCUCCUGUCUAAUCCGCCUGCAGUGACAGCCAGAAAAAAUGGUAUUAAUUGUAUUUCUCUUGAUUUACCUUUUUCUUGCUGCUAAGAGAGCAUCCAGUCCUUCUUGCCCUGGGAAGCCUUUGCCAUCUCAGAUGGGAAGCAGCAUUUCCAUUACUCUCUCCCACUCCCCAGUUCAACCUUUCCCAGAGAACAGAGCUCAAAUGCAAUGCUCCACCAGGUCUGCUACCAACAGAGAACCACAUUCACUUACAACAAAAGUAUGGGAGAAACACAAAGAAGUAAGAAGGAGGAAGCAUUUAAGUCAUGAAAUACUAACAUGCUGAGUCUCCUACUCUGUUCUUGCUGCUUUUGAAAGGCAGUAAAAUCCAUAUUGGUAUUUCCAAGGAAUUUCUACACACAGAAAACUUCAUCUGAGCCGGGCCUUCACUCCAAUAAAAAUGAUUGUAAUGGUGUCAGAACAAAGAUCCAUCUCAUUCACCAGUUGGCAACUAAAAGGAGAUGCCGGAGCAAGGUAAGCACAGUGCCACUUUCCCAAAUGCUCUUCCAGGCUCCAACAAGUUGUGGCUCGCAAACUUUCUGAGACACAUGUUGCCAUGUAUUUAGUAUCCCUAACAAGUUUUUUUUUCCUGAGCUUGUCCUGCAUCCCCUUGAACCUAGCUAUGCUCCAGUAUCCAUAACUGAGUUAAGGAGCCAGUUUAACUACACACUGUUUGAAGAAUGACUUCUUUUCUACCUCUGCUCAGCAGAGCUUCCUUCAAGGUUUCCUUUGUACAGAAAGCAAACAGCUGAGUAUGCAUGAAAAACACUGGCUGUUCCUAAAAAUCUAUUCAAAUUUUAUCAUUCUAUUCCAAAAUUCCUGCUGGAAAUGGAAGAAAAAACAAAGAAAACAUGGGGGAAAAAAAAAAAAAAACAUGGGGGAAAAAAAAC